rnacentral:piRNA from 1 species
UCUGAUGUAACUGGGUAGGCUCAAAUGU